UUACUUGGAUAACUGUGGUAAUUCUAGAGCUAAUACAUGCAAAUAGAACUCCAACCGGAGACGGAAGGAGUGCUUUUAUUAGAUCAAAACCAAUCGGUGGCGGGCUUGCUCGUCAUCGUACAACUUGGUGACUCUGAAUAACUUUAUGCUGAUCGCACGGUCUUGCACCGGCGACGCAUCUUUCAAAUGUCUGCCUUAUCAACUGUCGAUGGUAGGUUCUGCGCCUACCAUGGUUGUAACGGGUAACGGGGAAUCAGGGUUCGAUUCCGGAGAGGGAGCCUGAGAAACGGCUACCACAUCCAAGGAAGGCAGCAGGCGCGCAAAUUACCCACUCCCGGCACGGGGAGGUAGUGACGAAAAAUAACGAUACGGGACUCAUCCGAGGCCCCGUAAUCGGAAUGAGUACACUUUAAAUCCUUUAACAAGGAUCAAUUGGAGGGCAAGUCUGGUGCCAGCAGCCGCGGUAACUCCAGCUCCAAUAGCGUAUAUUAAAGUUGUUGCGGUUAAAAAGCUCGUAGUCGAAUUUGUGUUCCGCGCCGCUGGUUCAUCGUUCGCGGUGUCAACUGGCGUGCCGCGGAACGUCCUGCCGGUGGGCUUCACUCGCAAGGGUGGCCCUACUUAAUCCCGCCGCGGUGCUCUUUAUUGAGUGUCGAGGAGGGCCGGCACGUUUACUUUGAACAAAUUAGAGUGCUUAAAGCAGGCUAAAAUUAUGCCUGAAUAUUUUGUGCAUGGAAUAAUAGAAUAGGACCUCGGUUCUAUUUUGUUGGUUUUCGGAACCCCGAGGUAAUGAUUAAUAGG
rnacentral:rRNA from 1 species